UCUUCUACCAGCUCUCUCCACCUCAGGCGGCCCCACCACAGUGGGGUGAGAGAGGACUCUUCCCCCAUCACUUAGUCAGCAUCACUGAACUUGAGCCUCCCCCAGGCCUCCCCCACCCUUCCACAGAAUGGUCUACCCAGCUGCUGGCAUGGCCCUGCUUAUCUAUAGGCCCAGCUGUGACUUGAAGUGCCUUUGACUCCCUUAAGCAUCUUGCUGGCUUGACUCACUGGAAGAGACAGCUGCCAGAGUAUCAGGUACCAGAGAUGUUCUGCACAUGAAUUUCCACUCAUUCUGCCUAAUGCCUUGGAAACCAGCGUCAAUCUUCACCUAAGUCCUCAGCUCUCCUAGCUUAAGUGGGAAAGUACAACAAGAAGGCAAAUUUCAUCUGCCUCAUUGCAUACACACUCAUCGAGGAAGCAGAUCAGGUCUGCCCAGCUGGAUGCUAUCGUGUAUGGCCAUGUCUGCCUCCCGGGCUCACCCUUCGCUAACAGAUGGCUACUGAGGCCCAGAGAUGCCGCUGAGAGACAUGACUACAUCCUAAUCUGGAGUGGCCCAGCCACCUGUGGACCACACAGCUGAUGGCGGGCGUCCUGCUUCUACAGAUUGCUGGGGUGGCUGUCGGGCACCCCGUCCCUGGGGCUUGUUUUUGCUUCUGGGAGUUCUGGCUGCUCUGUAGCCAACAGGGAGAGGGAGGACUCUGUUGUUAUGUGACCUUUAUGACCUGCAGUCUUUGGUGAUAGUAACACCUAGCUCUGUGUAGCCAGAAAGCCUCCCAUGCCCCAGGGACCCUAUCUAAAUUAUCUUGUGAAAACAGAGCUCUGAGAGUGGGGAAUGUAAAAUAACAGACUCCCGUUAACAUUUUGCUGUUUUAAUAUGUUCUAUGUGUCUGAAUGGCAAUGUGUGUGUGUGAUCAUGUCUCCUGCCUCUCCUGUCUUUAAACAAGGCUUUUCUCAUUAUGUUAUGCAAGCACAAAAAAAAGGAAAGCAAAGUAAUUUCUGUUGAGAACUGACAAUAUUUUGAUGCACAUCUUUGGUCUUCUUUUUUAAAUUUAUUUUUUAUUUUAUAUACAUUGGUGUUAUGCCAUGGGUGUCAGAUCCCCUGGAACUGGAGUUACAGACAGUUGUGAGCUGCCAUGUGGGUGCUGGCAAUUGAACAUGGGUCCUCUGGAAGAGCAGCCGGUGCUCUUAACCAUUAAGUCAUCUCUCCAGCCUUAUCUUUGGUCUUUUAAUGAGUAUACUACAGCAAAAGUAAAACAGUACACAACUUCAUUUAUACAUAUUUCUCCUAGCUUUCCUCCUUCAUGUGAGCCAGUGUGAGUAAGUUUUAUAUCUAUGAGAGACAGACAGACAGGAAGAAUGAAUGUAUAUGUGUGUGUGUGUGUGUGUUGACAGGGCUCAAACCUCAGGCCCUAUGCAUGCCAGGCGAGCACUCUCCUACUGAACUACAGAUCCAACCUCCCUUUUAUAGGACAGCAGCAUCCACAUGUGCCAUCUCUGAUUUAGCCAGUCUCAUCUCUGUAACCCUUUUGUUUGGUUCUCAUUUCUCUCUGUCCUAAACAGGGCUAAUGGUUGCUGCAUCUUGAUGUUUGUCUUGUUCUGUUGUAAUCCUUCCGAGACCCCCAGGAUGGCUAUCUGUAAAGACUGUACCCGAAACCACAUUUGGAAAUCUCUUGCUGUGUUGGACUGCUACUUUUAUGUCAGCUUGAUAAAGGAUUACAGGUAACAGCAUCCAGAGACUUCUAGCCAUGGGUAGGCUCCCCUUUAGGACUUUGAUCUAGGCCAACGAUUUCUUCAUUCUCCUCGUCUUUCUAAUCUGGAGCCAGCAAGAGAGAUCUGAUCAGGUACCAAAGGCCCAGAGAGAUUGUCCAGGGCCUCUGAUCUCUGCUGCUCAGUCAGCCAAAUCAGAAGACAAGGAAUCCAGAGCAGGAGGCUAGCCCCCCUCCCUGCCACUGCCUGCUCUGCUCCCAGCUCUGCAAUGGGUGUGUCCCACCGACCAGCCCCUCCCUGCUUAUCCUGGUGCACCUGCCACAUCUUGCUUCACACGUGUGUCUCUGGCCCGAGAGCAGACCCCACCCUCUUGCUAAUCAAGCAGCAAGGAUGAGCAAGUUCAUGGGAGAUAACUGUGGCUGGGCUCUCACUAGAGGAGUACCAACCUCCUGGGUUAUUCACUCUGGCGUGUGAGCAUUUGAUGGACAGUCCAGCAGCUCCCUCACUGUGCCCACAAAGGACCCUUUUCAGAGCUUUGGUGGGUUGAGCUGGGUACUGCCAGCCAGAAUUAAGCUGAAAGAUGAAACCUCUGAACCCAGCUGGGCUCCUGUCCCUUCACUGCCCAGAGUCUUAGGGAGAUUUGUCCCCUGGGUUUCAGUGCACCCACCUGCCUCUAGGCAGGUUCUCACCUGGAUCUGGGCAGCCAGGCUGGGUUACCGUACUGUUACUGGUGGCUCUCUUGGUCCUCCAUCCAAGUUGUACACAACAAAAACACACACAAAAAAGCCUCUCACUCGUAACUACUGCUGUUUGGUACCCACAGCAGAAGCUCCCUUCAGCCUGCAGCAACCUACUUACUUUUUAAAGAAUGUUUCAUUUUAUCUCAUGUGUAUGGGUGUUUGCUUGCAUGUAUGUUUAUGUAUCACUUGUGUGCCUAGGUCUGGUACCCACAGAGACUAGAAGAGGGCAUAGGAUUCCCUGGAACUAGAGUUACAGACAGUUGUGUGCUUCCACAUGGGUUCUGAAAAUCAAACCUGGAUCCUCUAGAAGAACAGCUAAUGCGUUUAACCUCUGACCCAUCUUUUCAACCCCCUACUUCAUUAUUUUUAAAGACAGCCUUGAUGUUUAGGAGGAUUGGAAACAGUUGCUAUUUAAAUUUGUCUAAGCAACUCAGGCCCUACACUUUGAGGGUGCUCAGAUACUAUUUGUUAAAUGAAUAAACCUCUCUUGGGCAUUGCCUAAAAUGGCUACUUCAUUCUGGAUAGUGCUCACAAACUUCGGUGACCAGUAACACACAUACAGAAUGGGCUGCAGACUUCUCUGCUCAGAAGCCUGUUUUGGUGGGUGCACUGAGGAGACUUCGAUUUCCACAGACCUGGUUUGUGCCCCAGAUUUACAGAAGGGACUAGAAGGCAAGGCCAGGUCUGAGUUCACCAAGAGAAAUGAGAAUCUAGAAUGUGAUGACCAUGGUGUUGAUGACUCUUUGACAGGGUCUUUCUAUAUAACCUAGGGUGACUGUGAACUCCCACCUUUCUUGUCUUAAUCUAAUAUGAUGUGAUAUUUGGUGAUAAAAUACAUAAA